CUGCAAAUAAGGAAAUCCUGACUUUCUGUAAAAAAAAAAAAAAAAAAAUCUAGAUCCUGGCUAUUGGUUUCUUUUCAAGGUUCUGCCACACUAAUUGCUUUCUGUUUGAUUCUGUGCCCUUCUGAAAUUGAAGGUUGCCUCGAGGCAGGAGAAAAGCUGUGGUGGUGACUUGCGGGUUUGGGGACUGGGGUAACCCACAGCGGUGGCUGCAAGCCAGUCUCAUUAUCCCACGGCUCAGCAGGGCCAACCGGGGGGCCCGUUUUCCUGCUUCAGAUCUGAGCCUAUGACUGGAAGGGGUAGAAUCUCAAAGCUUUCUCUUUGCAUUAUUUAUCAUUUCUGACUGAUAACAGCACCACUUUCUUCUAGGAACCAAACACUGGUCAUUAUGGUUUUGUUUUCAUGUGGUAUUUGGUAUUGUAUUUCACUGUUCUUCAACCACAGAUUUACAAACUGGGAAUAUAUUAAAGGAUCUGAGGUUCACAGGAAAUAGGCAUUUCACUUCGUUUCAGCAAUAAUAUGGUAUUACUGCUUCUACACCAGCAUAUUCCUAAUAUCUGAUGGCUUCCUCUAAAUUUGUCUCAACUGCAGUGAUGAAAGGUGGAGUGACUUUAUUGGUGUCUGAGAAUGUGUAUGUGUUCGGUGAAGUCAGAAACAGUUUUAUUCGUGGGUGACCUGAUGGUUUUGUAAAUGAGGUUUCAAAAUCAUAAAUUGAAAGUAUUAAUAAAUGAGUUGUGUAGUUUUCUGGAAAGUCUUAUUUGACGGGGUAUGUGGGCAUCCUUGCUAAAUGAAAACGUCAAACAAGGGGAUAGUUAACAGGGCACGGUAUGGGUCGGGCUGCCUGGGUUCAAAUCCCUGCUCUGUCACUCACUAGCGAGGAAACUUAGUUGAGACACUUUCAUGUGCCUCAGUUUCUCCUAUGCCACUGGAGGAUUUUAAUCCUACCUGGGACUUAAGGUUGUUUUCCACAUGCCUCGUGCUUAGAACAGUGCUGAGCACUUGGUGUUGACUUAAUAAAUGCCAACUACUAUUGUUUUCCUAAAAUGUGCUAGUACUUUUAAAAUUGUACCUAUCUGGCCUUUUCCCGCACACGCUAGGUCAUUGCUGGGGACUUUCUUGAUAGCAAAGUGAUGCCCUCAGGGGAUCUGCGAUCAAAUCCCUUGUCCUCCAGGUGGCGCUGCUGUAGCCUUGAGGCUUUAGCCCACAUCUUCCUACUGCUUCCCAACCCCCACCCCCUCAUCAUUUUGUGUGUGUGUGUGUGUGUGUGUGUGUGUGUGUGUGUGUGUGUCCAGUUAAACCACAAGUCUCCCACCCAGGCUUCCCUUUCAUCAUCGUCAUCCUGCUUGUAAUGACCUGAGUCCAUCUUUUUCCCCACUAUCUGGUAAGCUCCUUGAGUCCAGAACCCACACGUCUGUCUUGUCCCAGGCUCUUCCCUAGGGCUUGGUGGACAGUGAUCCCAAGAGCCACUAGCAGGGCGCCUACUCCCCUUACAAGCAUGUGCUCCAGGGGCCAACUUUCUGGGUUCAAAUUCUGGUUUUACUGUGUGCUGGCCUGUGUGCUGGUGAGAAGAUUACUCAAACUCUCCAGUUUGAAGCUUUAGUGACCCCCGUAAUAAAAAAAAAAAAGGUACUGACUUCCCAGGAUUGUGAGAGUAGAUGAAGGGAGCUAAGUGGAAAGACCAGCAAAUA
rnacentral:lncRNA from 1 species